UAGGGAAUCUUCCACAAUGGACGCAAGUCUGAUGGAGCAACGCCGCGUGAGUGAAGAAGGUUUUCGGAUCGUAAAGCUCUGUUGUUGGUGAAGAAGGAUAGAGGUAGUAACUGGCCUUUAUUUGACGGUAAUCAACCAGAAAGUCACGGCUAACUACGUGCCAGCAGCCGCGGUAAUACGUAGGUGGCAAGCGUUGUCCGGAUUUAUUGGGCGUAAAGCGAGCGCAGGCGGAAGAAUAAGUCUGAUGUGAAAGCCCUCGGCUUAACCGAGGAAUUGCAUCGGAAACUGUUUUCUUGAGUGCAGAAGAGGAGAGUGGAAU
rnacentral:rRNA from 1 species